UCCAACAUAGCAGGGGUAGCAGGGAGUGCAGUUGGCCCAGCCUCAGCUGGGGGCAGGGACUUCAUCCUGGCCUGUCAUUCUUGGUGAGAAAUUUGCAAGUAUAAUAAUAGCAAUAGCAUUGCUAAUAGAAAUACUAAUAUUGCUACUACUCUGGUUAUUAUAUUUACUACUAUUACUUCAAUUAAUUUAUGUCCCAGCAUGUCCCUACUCCCAGUUGCAGCCAAACAACAGCACAGCACGGGAGCUCCAUGUUGUGAGUACCUAAGUAGGAAGUUGCCUUCUUAGCGCAGCUGGCAGUGCACCCAUCUUGUAACCUGAAGGUCCUGAGUUUGAGCCUCAGAGAAAGCAGCUGUUUUGCCCUACUCCAAAAGCCCUGUCCCAGGCAUCACCUCUGGCUAUUCACAUCCACAGCCAACACCCCUGGGAAUUGGGCUGCAAAAACUGGGUGCUGUACUGACCUCUACCCUUGACAUACCCCACAGUGCUGCCCAGCUGCAGUCCCACCCUGGCCACGGGUUGUUUGCUCUCUGAUGCAGCCUUUGACCUCAUACAUGGAAACCCUGAGCAGUGUCCAGCUAGCUCAGGUGGUAAAGCAUGAGACUCUUAAUCUCAGGGAUGUGGAUUUAAGCCUCAAGUUGGGCAUGUGACUUCCCUUUUUUCUACUGACUGUGCUGCUGUUACUGUACCUCCUUCAGGCAGUGUUCUGACAGAGAGAUCCCUUCCCCAGGCUACUGGACUCUGCAGCCCCAGGCAUGAGGCAGAGACCACCCCAGGCGGUCUGCCCUGCCCCAGGGAAAAGCCAAGGGGGAACUGAAGCAAUGGAGGGGGUUGUUAGAGCGAGCUCCCAGGACAGUUUUUUUCCAGGGAUCUGUCCAAAACACCGGGGUUGGGAGGAUUUCCUUCCCUGCUCAGGAUCAGACCCUGUAGUCCAAGGGGGAGCAUGGACACCACCACAGACGAAAAACACAGCCAGGGACAGGGAGCCUCCCUCUUUGCAAUGGAGCAGAGAAGCCCAGUGUCCAGCACACCUCCAGCUCUCCACAUAAUGCUCUUUCCCAAAAUGUUGCAACCUGCCUAUGAUGCAGCUUGCAGUGAAGGGCGAUUUUACCGCUUGAGAAAUAGCACUGCCCCCCUCUCUUCCCCUCCCCUCCAGUCUCCCACCCCAUCUCCAGGGCAUGGAUGGGCUCCAGGGAGGUGGGGAGGGGGCAACCAGACACAGUCAAGAGAUUCAGCUCCCUGGCCUGCAUGGUUUGUGCUCUGGCUAUGAAUAAAACAGGAAAUAUUAUUACUUAGUGGAAAAAAAAAAAACAGGUGAAGGCCUGUUAAGUAUUUGCAGUGGCCCCGGUGACAUGGUUUUUGUGAUGGGCAAGGAAGCCAUUACCCUGAAGUAGAGUAGUCACGUACUCAGGAAGCAGCUGUUGCGGUGCAUGUUUUUUUCAAAAGUAUCUAGUUACUUGAGUGUUGCAGAAACCACUGGCAUUUUAACCACUGCUUAGUUUUGCAGGUGUGCUUAAGUCUGGCCGCCGCUUGGUUUUGCAAAUGUAACACAGUCUACCCGCAGCUCAUGAAAUCGCAGCUCAUGGAAAGUAUCUGGUCCUUACAGGUGUGUCAACAGUUUAACCUCAGCGCAGCUCAUGAAAAGUACCGGACCAAGUGGAAAAUACGCAUACGCAAAUGCUUUGUAACUCUUUGUAACCUUAAUAGCCUGACCUUUGAAAAAGUAUAAAAGUACACCUCGCCUUUAAUCGGGGCCAUUUUGCCUCUUUGCUGGUUUGUGGUCUUUGCUUGAGCAAAUAAACUAUAGUGAAGCCUUUACCUGUGUUGCCUGGUUCCUAUGCGGCUAGACAAUGAACAUAAGGGAGUUUUCUCCCACGACAAUCUGGCAACCCAGUUGGGACCCGUCUAGCUUGGAGCCUUUGGAGACCUCCACCCCCUGACACCCCAGUGCGCACCAGGUGAGUUCACCUACUUGGGUCAGUCUCGGGAGGUGGAUGGUCCCCUCGGGACCAAUACGGCGGGAUCCUUAAAUCAGGUAAAGGAAUGGUACUUUAGGUACCUCAGGUUUGUAUGUUUUUGGUUUAAUUUCUGGUUCCUAGUUGCUCCAGGGUUUUAUAGUUUCUGGUUAGUCCUUUAGAGGACUCUGGUCUUGUUUCUGUUUGAUUGUGGGUUCGAGUCCCACCUUUAUUCCUCUAGAGGACUUUGGGAGCAGUCCAAGGGUAUCCGCCUGCCUCUUAAAAGCUAAUAGAGCGGCAACCUGGCCGAAAGGCAAAAGACACGGGUAUGAGGUAGAAGUACUGUCAUAACGGCCAGUGACUAGGGUCUCGGACUCAAGACACCCCUCCUUACGGAGAAAGCCAGUGGGGUCCGAGAAUACCGGUUGUAUGUACACGUGCUGGCACAUGCCAGCAGGGGACUCAGGAAAUCGUGGGGAGCCAUCACCUCGACCGACUCCUGGCGACCACCCAAGUCCUGAGCCUGUAGAUGGAUCAAGGCAUCCCUCUCCAGACUCAACCUCCCCGAACACUGAUUCAACUCCCAUAGCUAAUUGCACCCGACAACGAGUACUUAACCCUAGCCUUCUGGCUCCCCUGAGAGAUUACCCAGUACCUGGUGAUAAUGGCCAAGUUGUCAGUCACUGGACAUAUACUCCAUUCACCACCACUGACCUCUUAAAUUGGCAAGAAAAUACUCCCAGACUUAGAGACGAUCCAGAAAUAGUCCUAAGGCAUUUUAAAACUAUCUUCAUGACCCAUCAUCCCUUGUGGUCAGACAUCAUGCAACUUCUCGAAAGCCUCUUAACCUCUGACGAGAAAACCCAAGUACUACACCAUGCUGACCAAUUUCUAGAUGACUAGCAGCAUCAAAACCACCCCAUGCCUAAUGGCGUACCUAAGCAUGAUCCAAAUUGGAAGUAUAACCAGGAAGGAGGGCAAAAUGCAAGACAAAUGCUAAAAAAUUAUCUUAGAUGGAGUAAAAAACGCAGGAGAUAAAACUGCAAAUUGGUCCAAGGUGACAGGUGUUGUUCAGGGUCCAGAAGAACACCCUUCAAACUACUUUGAAAGACUCUGUAAAACUAUGCGCCAACAUGGAAACAUGGACCCCGAGUCACCUGCCACUUUGCCUGUGAUAAGACUUGUAUUCAUAAGCCAAGCUAGCAAAGAUAUUAGAAAGAAACUCCAACAUAAGACCGAAGGUGUUGAGGGCAAAUCCAUGGCCGAAAUCUUAGCCAUUGCUACUAAAACCUUUAAUGGAAGAGAAGAAAAAAAGAAAAAAGAAAAACAAAGGGAAGACCAAUCCAACAUUUGCAUGUUGGCAGUGGUAAUUCAGCCACCAAAUCCCUAUGGAACCAGUCUGUUCCGUGGCCCGAGGCCCUUUGCACCUAGACCACCGGGCCACACUCUCCAACCAUAUGGAUCCAACGUGUGCCACUACUGCAAACAAGAGGGACACCGGAAAAGAGAUUGUAAAUUGAGACCAAAAAGGCCCCCUGGCAACUACCCUGAAACCAAAAAGAAAGAAACAUUGUUACAGUUGCCCCACAUCCUACUCAAGACCAGUUUGAAGACUGACAAGUUGAGGGAGAUUCUACGUGCCACCUUUUGCAAUCAUCCCUUACACAACCCAAAGAUGUUGCUUUAAACUGCAGUGCUCAAGAUCCCAUGAUACCUUUAAAAAUAGGGGAACACAUCUAUGAAUGUCUAUUGGACAUGGGGGCAGCCUUUUCUAGUAUCUCAAAAGGACACCUUUCCCCAAGCGGAAAACAAGUCACAGUUAUGGGUAUCGAGGACAGACCUUUCCGUUGUCCCUUUUCUCAAGCCGUUGAUAUCAAGAUUAAUCCUCUUUCAGCAGAACACUCCUUCCUCUUAGCCUAUAGUCCUGUCAACCUUCUAGAAAGAGACCUUCUCUGAAAACUACGUGCCACCAUACAGUGUUCACCCGAUGGAAUUAUCUUAACAUUCCCAUCCUCUCAAAUCCCUACAUUGGCUGCGGUCCUUGUACCCACCCAGAACCCAAGUUUAGAGUCUCUUCCUUCUAGCCUAAAAGAAAAGGUACCUUCCGAACUUUGGGGCCUCACCUCCAGCUCAGUGGGAUCCUGUCAAAAUUCUAAUUCGCACCAAUCUUGAGCCACCUAAAGUACCCCAGUAUCCUUUAAAAGCAGAAGCUAUUGAGGGACUCAAGCCUCUAAUUGAAUAUUUUUCUAAACAAGGAAUUUUGAUUCCCUGUCAGUCACCCUGUAACACUCCCAUACUUCCAGUAAGGAAACCCAAGCCUGGUCCAGACGGAAAGCCCAUCUAUCGUUUUGUUCAAGACCUCAGACAAAUUAAUAAGUAUGUCAUUCCUCGACACCCUGUUGUUCCUAACCCCAAUACUAUCUUAACUGCAAUACCCCCUGACACUGCUGUUUAUACAGUAGUAGACCUCUGUUCUGCUUUCUUCAGCAUCCCCAUCCACCCUGAAUCCCAAUAUCUUUUUGCCUUCACCUGGGGUUCUUCUCAACUAACCUGGACAAGGUUACCCCAAGGAUAUGCAGAAUCUCCCAGCAUUUUUUCCUUCAAAUUCUUCACAAAGAUUUGCAAGAUGUUACUUUUCCUAACUCCUCAUCCCUCCUAAUAUACGUGGAUGAUUUACUCUUAUGCUCUACCUCAUCAGAGGCAUCUACCCAGGACACCAUCAUCUUGCCCAGCCUGCAACUGUAGCUGAAUGCACACAGAGAGGGGGGCACGUGCCCCUCAGGGCCUCCACUGGCGUGCAUACAGUGGCAAGAGCCCCCCUGCACCCUUGGACAAGCUGCCUGGGCUCCAUCCUCUCACCACGCACCUGGCUGGGGCCCCACUCAAUUUACCCCUGCUCCUGCCUCUGCAGCACCAUCCCUCACUGGGGCCUCAGUUGGGCUCCCGCCGCUUCCCUCCCCCACGGACUGAUCUGCUGACUGGGGUUGGGGCAUGUGUGUGCGUACUCCCCUUCCCCCCCUCCCCCCCUCCCCCACCUUGGGAUAGACUUCAAGAGGCCUUGAUCCACUGCUUGGUAACCACUGUUGUAGAUCUAAGUAGCCCCACCCCCUUUUCAGAUGUCAUGGAUCUGAGAAGCUCCACUCCUCCCUCCAGCUAGCAUGGUGUUGGGUUGGCCCCUCUGACCUCUCUUUCCCUCCAGAGCUAUGAGAUCCACAUCACCCACCAUGUCCAGCCAGAGCCUGAGCGAAUGAAAGAGUUAAUAGUCUGCAGUGGGGGUCUCUUCCUACCCAGAAUGCCGCGGGCCUACAAGCCCAAGCGCCUGGUGCUCUCAUGCGCUGCUGACCUGCCCUGCUGCCGCCCUGCCCUGGCCGUGGGCCUGCCUGUGGCCUCGGCAGAGUUCCUGCUCAUCGGGGUCCUGAGGCAGGAGGCUGAGCUGGGCCCUUACUGCCUGGACCAACCCUAUCCACUGGCGCACCCGGCCCCCUCCACCCGGGAGAGGAAGGGAGCAGCUGGCUCCUCUGGAACCACCAAGCGCCGGCACUGACAGGGUUAAUGCCCUGGGGGGUUGGGGGGGGCUGUUCCUAUAGAUGACUAUAUUUUUCAAUAAAGUGACUUUUGCAGGAAAAAAA